GAGUUUGAUCUUGGCUCAGAGCGAACGCUGGCGGCAGGCUUAACACAUGCAAGUCGAGCGGGCGUAGCAAUACGUCAGCGGCAGACGGGUGAGUAACGCGUGGGAACGUACCUUUGGUUCGGAACAACCCAGGGAACUUGGACUAAUACCGGAUAAGCCCUCAGGGGGAAAGAUUUAUUCGCCGAAAGAUCGGCCCGCGUCUGAUUAGCUAGUUGGUGAGGUAAUGGCUCACCAAGGCGACGAUCAGUAGCUGGUCUGAGAGGAUGAUCAGCCACAUUGGGACUGAGACACGGCCCAAACUCCUACGGGAGGCAGCAGUUGGGGAAUAUUGGGACAAUGGGCGCAAGCCUGAUCCAGCCAUGCCGCGUGAGUGAUUGAAGGCUCUAGGGUUGUAAAGCUCUUUUGUGCGGGAAGAUAAUGACGGUACCGCAAGAUAA
rnacentral:rRNA from 1 species